CAGGACUACCGACUUACUAUUAUUACCGACAUAUAGUCGGUUUAUCUUCUCAACACAUCUAAUCGUUAUAAAUGGUUAUCGACUACGUGUCACGAUCAUUAGUGGGCAUAAAUGAUCUAUUAACUUCAUGAUUAUAGUUCGAUAAUUUAGUACCAUAAAAAAUGAGAUCAUGUACUCGAAAAUUACAUCGAAAUCAUCUAUAAAAGAGGAGGUAAAUGAACAGAAUGGAUAAGAUAAUUC
rnacentral:lncRNA from 1 species